rnacentral:misc_RNA from 1 species
AAAAAUACGCUUCAAGAUUUUCUUAGUCAGUACAUUAGAAAAAAACUGAUGAAUCUUUUACAAAAAUUUGUCUGCAGUGACCUUGUUGAAAUAAUAUCAAAGUUGAGUGAUUUAACUAAUACAAACUGAAAGUUUAUUGAUUUUAUUAAGACCAGUUGAAGUCCAGUGUCCAUGCUAAAAUUUGCUGAUAAGUUUGGUGACCAAGAGUGGGAUAAUUUGCUCUUAUCGUCCCUAAAUUUUAAUGGGUAUUUCAUGUUCGUCUCUAAAUUUUAAUUUGUUAUAAGAAAAUACUUCAAUUUCAAUUUUGUUUUAAAAACCAUUCAUUCCACCUGCAAUAACAGGUUUACAAGUAAAAU